GUAAACCAUAGCGAGCAAACCGUUACGGUGUCGCAAGGCAUCGCCGCGGUUAAUAAGGAUAACCCUGGUAAUUCUGAGGCUAAUACAAGAACGUACAACCCGUCCGACCCGCAAGGGGAGGGGGGGGAAUGUGUGACCAGGCACGCAAAUUCGAAACUGGGAGUGGCCACACGUUCAGACCGCCAUACCAAACAGUCGUUCGCUUCGAAAGUCCUCGUGACGAGUAACGGCGGGUUUCUGGGCGGCUCUCGCUGUGUGCUUCUGACCUAUCAACUAGAUGGCAGCGUAACGGACAUGCUAUGGU
rnacentral:rRNA from 1 species